GAUGAGUCGGAACAAACUGCGGAAACAAGAGCUAGAACUUUCUGAGGAUGAAGAAGACACUGCUGUUUGCGCUCACUCUCUCAGCUGCUCUGUCUACAAACGUCAUCAGAGAGUACCACUAUGUAGAGAGUUUAAAGACCUGGGAUGAAGCUCAGAGUUACUGCAGAGAGAAGUUCACUGACCUUGCCACUGUAGAAAAUGAAGACGACAACAACAGGCUGCUGCGUGUGUUGGAGGGCCAUGGAGAACCAGCAUGGUUAGGGCUUUAUGAUCAUCUGAAAGGAUGGAAGUGGGCGCUUGGAGAUGCAGACUUCAACAAUGAGUUCAGCAACUGGAAUACAAGUGAGCCUGACCUUAGGAACGUCGAGGAGAGCUGCGUUGUGAUGGCAAUAUCUGGGGAUUGGUUCGACAAUGUAUGCUUUAGACGACGUCAUGCAGUCUGCU